GAAACUGAAGGGUGCCCUGGAGCUCGCAGGGACCGCGGGCUCCGCCGGCCAAA
rnacentral:SRP_RNA from 1 species